CAGUCGCCACGGUAAUACGGAGGGGGCUAGCGUUGUUCGGAAUUACUGGGCGUAAAGCGCACGUAGGCGGCUUGGUAAGUUAGAGGUGAAAGCCCGGAGCUCAACUCCGGAAUUGCCUUUAAGACUGCCGAGCUAGUAGGUGAGAGAGGUAAGUGGAAUUCCGAGUGUAGAGGUGAAAUUCGUAGAUAUUCGGAAGAACACCAGUGGCGAAGGCGGCUUACUGGCUCAUUCUAGACGCUGAGGUGCGAAAGCGUGGGGAGCAAACAGGAUUAGAUACCCCUGUAGUCCCUGUCUCUUAUAC
rnacentral:rRNA from 1 species